GAUUUUAAUGAUGAUUUUGUAUUACCGCCCCAGUCUGAUUAACCGGUGACUGAUUGGUUUCUUUCUGAAUAAAG